AGGCAGGCGGCAAGAGUCAUGAUAAAGCAGUGGUAUAUGCAACUCGUGUCUGGUCGAUUGUGGUUGUGGAGGGUGACCUGGUGCCGAGGGCAGAGGGCUCUCCAGGGUGUGGAGACCACGUGCGUGCUUCUUUGGUGAUGCGGUGGACUCCUAGCUAAUGAAUUCAGAGGUGCGGAUGAGGGCUUAGCGGAGCCUGCUUCUACGUGGGUAGCUCCUAGAGAACCUUUCAUUUAUUGGAAUCGUCUUAGAUCUGCCCUCUGUGAUCAAAUUAAUGAGGAGAAGCACACACACAAAGCCCCUUGGUGCGGGAUAAAAAAAGACAUCAGGCUCCAAAGAAAGGUGAGAACAGAGAGUGCCUGAAGGGCUCCUGGACCUUGCUGCCUGGCAGAAGCUUCACAGAUUCGGCUUCUUCUCUUCUCUGGCUCGGGAGAUUCCAGAGGAGUGAGGGAAGGCUGCCUUUUCACGGAGCCCCACUAAUGUGGCGAAGAUGGAAGGGAACCGAAGAACCUUCACCUGGAGCUUACUUCACAAGUGAAACACUAGCCACCGAGCAAAACUACUUUUCACCUCAACUGCUGCAAAGGCCCUCUUCAGACCAUGGACCACGGGGCACUGGAAUCGACUGCCUCAUACUGCUUAAGCAACAGUGACCAUGGAGGACUCCGGGGAGUGACUGACCAGGCAGCCAUCAAGUAAGUCUCUGUUUUUGUUUGGUUUGGGACAGCAUUUCUUUGUAGUUUUAGAGCCUGUCCUGGAAUUUGCUCUUGUAGACCAGGCUGACCUCAAACUCACAGGGAUUCACCUACCUCUGCCUCCUGAAGGCUAGGAUUAAAGGCAUGCCUCCCCACUACCCAGCAAGUCUCUGUCAUUUUGAAUCAUUAGCUCCGGUAAAAUUCACCCUUCUCAAGGUCUCUGAUGCAGUUUGACGACUGAUAGCUUUGCGUAACAGCAGCAACCAAGGCUUCAACUGCAUUCACGUUCUCAUUUCUUCUUGUAAGAUUCAGCUCGCAGGCCUACCAAGGCUAGACACGAUUUACCUCAUUACCAGACUCAGAAAAGAGAUAGACCCACAGAACAGAUUUCAGUGUAACUCCUUACCAUUCCUUUGUGUAAAUAAAAGGUGAUUUAAGAUGCAGAGCUGAAGCUGUGAGGAUCUGAGGAUGUUUCGGGGUCUAAGAAGGUGUGUUAAGAUGUGCAAAUGCAGUGAUAAAGGCCUGAGGAAAAGGCUUAAGUGCUGAUAAUUUUCACAUUAAUCAAUAAAACCCUAAUUAGCUAUUAAUCCAGCUCUGACAGAGUGCUGAACACCAUACUAUACCACAGUCAUCAUAGCCACAAACUCAAGAUUUUAAAUCCCAUGUGGUUGUUUUCUAACUUUGAACCUCAAAGAUACUUUUCAUUGUGCAAAAGACAUCUGUCACAGUCAUUUCUGGCAUGAAUACUGCUGUCUCUACAAUGCAAAUUUCAAUACAUACCAUAAACAGUGGAAAUGUUAAUGUGUCUAAAACACAUCUUUUUGCAAACUCAAAGAAUUCUUGUAAGUACCAGGAAGUCGACUUGGAUUCACCUCAAACAAGUCAGAUGUAUUCCUCCCCUUCCCCACUCCCUGAUUACCAGGACCUAAACAGCCUAAGCCUUUCCCUGGCUUAACACCUUUCCCUGGUCUUGACAAAAACACUGCUUCUAAGACUGGGGUUCUCCAAGGACCAAGGAGAAGAUUUGGGAUUGCCUGCGUAGCUAAAAUACUGUCUCAUUUUUGCUCAUUUAUCCCUCCCAGAUCUGUCUAAUGGUGUUUGACAAUUUAAGAUACUGUGAAUUUAUUAUUUCAUCCAUGACAUUUAAUUAAGUUUCCUGUUAAAAUACAGACAGGUGUGCCUCUUUCACAGGCUUCAUAGUCCAGGAUUAGCAGGUUUCAGGUGUACCUGCAGAGGUUCAGCUAUGUAAAUCUGUUCCAGUUCUCUUACAGGUUCCUGGAAUGUUCUACUGCUCGAUCAAAAAUCAGGACUGGUAAAAACCUAACAGUCUCCAGAGACUUUUGCUAACCCCAGCCAGUUUGAAGCAUAUUUUAUAGGUCACUCCUGAUGCCUGGGCCAAAACCAACCUACAAAGUGCUCCCCAGACAAUGCCAAAGACCUGCACCAGCUCCUGGGACUUCACCAUUGGUACCAACUCUUCUGGAUCAAGGACACCUGCCGACUAAAAUCUGGUUUUAUUUGGUAUUGUAUCCCAUCCCAUUGAUAGCCCCAUUUCAUAGGGCCAAUAAUAACAAUAUUUUUUUUCUCCUAGCCACCUGCCUUCUCAUCUCCCUCAAAAAGCAGCUGCCUAAGGACUCCAGGAUGACAGCAAACCGGAUGCAGCUCCAGCCACACCUCUCUCUGAGUGAAGAAAUGGCAGCUUAACAGAAUGGCGUGAGUUGUUCAGUGUUAGGCAACCAGCAGCCUGACAUCAGCCCUAGGAACAAAAGGCCCAGGGCCAGCUGUGUGCCUUCAGCAGCUUCCCUUUCCAGUUUCUAAUUUCCAUGAUAAAGAAGGAAAGCGCCUGAGAGGGCCUCCGAGUGGAAAAUGAUGCUGACGGCUCAGGACGCGGUGCCAGCUCAAGAGGGAGAAGGACGGAGUCCUCAGAAGCCAUAAAACGGAAUGGGACGGGUAAAGAGCCACCUGCUCCUGUCAUUGCGGCACAUCCUCAGUGAGGGCCUGGCCUGUCUCUUUCUUCUCUGUACCUCCGUGUCCCCAAACGGAAUCUGGCAAAGCAGCUGUUGGGCUCCUGCGCAUGCCUCUUCAAUGCCUGUAUCUUAUUUGCUCCUCACAAUGGGGUUGAAGUAUUCUACCCACUGUAGGGAUGAGCAAGGGGAAGCAUAGAAAGGUCAUUUCAAUCCCUGAAGUGAUGGAGAUAGUCGGGAGUGCAGCUGCGAUUUGAAUGAGAGUCCGAGGCUUUUCCAAUAGGAAGACAACUCUCCAAUGGUCCUUGUUCACGCCUUGGUGAGCUCUGAAAUGUGAAUGCCCUGUGGUCUGCAGAGCUCUUGACUUGAGUUCCUUCAUGGCUCGUCUUGACUUCAAGGAGGCAAAGAAUUGUGACACGGAGAAGAACUUGGUGUGGGCACACUGAUGGAGAAGCAGAGGUCAGCCGUGGGUGUUAUUCCUCGAGAGCUGGACAUUCUUUUUGUUGUUGUUGUUUGGGUUCCACACCCCCACCCUCAUUCAGAAGAUCGAACCCAGUCAAUUGAAUGCCAGUCGAGUACUGUACCAUUGAGCUAUGUCCCCCAUUUGCAAGCUCUCUCACUCUCCUGGACCUUGCCUAUUUGGCUAGGCUGGCUGCUUCCCCCUCCCCAGCACUGGGACUAUAGUGCUUGCUAACUCUGGUAUUUUUCCGAGGGUUGGGGGAUCUGCUGUAAGAUUAUUCCCCUCUCUGAAGAGAUGGAAACAACACCUACCCCUUCCUCAUAAUGUCUUCAUAACAGACCAAAGUUUGAUUCCACCAAAAUUCACCCAGAGGAACCAAUAAGUUUGUUGGGCUUCUGUGGUGUUUCGAAGGGAAAUGGCCCCCAAAGGGUGUGGCACUGUUAGGCGGUGUGGCUAUGCUGGAGUAGGUGUGACCUUGUUAGAGGAAGAGUGUCACUGUGGGAGCGGGCUUUAGU